UACGUAGGGUGCGAGCGUUGUCCGGAUUUACUGGGCGUAAAGAGCGCGCAGGCGGUCGUUCAAGUCGCGUGUGAAAGCCCCCGGCUCAACUGGGGAGGGUCACGCGAUACUGAUCGACUCGAAGGCAGGAGAGGGUAGUGGAAUUCCCGGUGUAGUGGUGAAAUGCGCAGAUAUCAGGAGGAACACCGGUGGCGAAGGCGGCUCUCUGGGCCUUACCUGACGCUGAGGAGCGAAAGCUGGGGGAGCGAACAGG
rnacentral:rRNA from 1 species